rnacentral:rRNA from 1 species
GACGAACGCUGGCGGCGUGCUUAACACAUGCAAGUCGAACGGAAAGGCCCUGCUUUUGUGGGGUGCUCGAGUGGCGAACGGGUGAGUAACACGUGAGUAACCUGCCCUUGACUUUGGGAUAACAUCAGGAAACUGGGGCUAAUACCGGAUAGGAGCUCCUGCUGCAUGGUGGGGGUUGGAAAGUUUCGGCGGUUGGGGAUGGACUCGCGGCUUAUCAGCUUGUUGGUGGGGUAGUGGCUUACCAAGGCUUUGACGGGUAGCCGGCCUGAGAGGGUGACCGGCCACAUUGGGACUGAGAUACGGCCCAGACUCCUACGGGAGGCAGCAGUGGGGAAUAUUGCACAAUGGGCGGAAGCCUGAUGCAGCAACGCCGCGUGCGGGAUGACGGCCUUCGGGUUGUAAACCGCUUUCGCCUGUGACGAAGCGUGGGUGACGGUAAUGGGUAAAGAAGCACCGGCUAACUACGUG